GUAAACGGCGGCCGUAACUAUAACGGUCCUAAGGUAGCGAAAUUCCUUGUCGGGUAAGUUCCGACCUGCACGAAUGGCGUAACGAUGGCCACACUGUCUCCUCCCGAGACUCAGCGAAGUUGAAGUGUUUGUGAUGAUGCAAUCUCCCCGCGGCUAGACGGAAAGACCCCAUGAACCUUUACUGUAGCUUUGCAUUGGACUUUGAACCGAUCUGUGUAGGAUAGGUGGGAGGCUUUGAAGCGUGGACGCCAGUCUGCGUGGAGCCGACCUUGAAAUACCACCCUGGUUUGUUUGAGGUUCUAACCUUGGUCCGUUAUCCGGACUGGGGACAGUGCAUGGUAGGCAGUUUGACUGGGGCGGUCUCCUCCCAAAGUGUAACGGAGGAGUACGAAGGUACGCUAGGUACGGUCGGAAAUCGUGCUGAUAGUGCAAUGGCAUAAGCGUGCUUAACUGCGAGACCGACAAGUCGAGCAGGUGCGAAAGCAGGUCAUAGUGAUCCGGUGGUUCUGUAUGGAAGGGCCAUCGCUCAACGGAUAAAAGGUACUCUGGGGAUAACAGGCUGAUACCGCCCAAGAGUUCAUAUCGACGGCGGUGUUUGGCACCUCGAUGUCGGCUCAUCUCAUCCUGGGGCUGUAGCCGGUCCCAAGGGUAUGGCUGUUCGCCAUUUAAAGAGGUACGUGAGCUGGGUUUAAAACGUCGUGAGACAGUUUGGUCCCUAUCUGCCGUGGGCGCUGGAUAUUUGAAGGGGGCUGCUCCUAGUACGAGAGGACCGGAGUGGACGAACCUCUGGUGUACCGGUUGUCACGCCAGUGGCAUCGCCGGGUAGCUAUGUUCGGAAGAGAUAACCGCUGAAAGCAUCUAAGCGGGAAACUCGCCUUAAGAUGAGAUAUCCCCGGGGCUUCGAGCCCCUUGAAGGGUCGUUCAAGACCAGGACGUUGAUAGGUCAGGUGUGGAAGCGCAGUAAUGCGUUAAGCUAACUGAUACUAAUUGCCCGUAAGGCUUGAUCCU
rnacentral:rRNA from 1 species